rnacentral:sRNA from 1 species
CCUCACCAACAAUGGAAGCCAUGCUUGCCAAACUAUUCAGGGACUUAGGAAUGCCAUUAGAGCUCAUAGCAGGAGUAUAUGAACUACGUUCAUGGAAAGCCUCCCAGAGGAUAUGAGGUGCCAACAAUUCUAAAUUCGCUACAGAGAAGUGUACAAGCAGUUUUGGUGGGAAAAAUUCAAAUUCAGGACUGGUUUAGUAAUGGCAUUAAGAAAGCAGCUUUAAUGCACAAGUGGCCAUUAAAAGAAAUAUCUGUUGAUGAAGAUGACCAAUGUCUACUUCAGAAUGAUGGAUUUUUUCUUUAUCUAUUAUGCAAGGAUGGAUUAUAUAAAAUAGGCUCUGGAUACAGUGGAACAGUUAGGGGUCAUAUAUACAAUUCUACAUCCCGUAUUAGA